UACGAAUCGUCCAAACGUUUGUUCGGAUUUACUGGGGUUUAAAGGGCGCGUAGGCGGUGCGUUAAGUCGGCGGUGAAAUACUUCGGCUCAACCGGAGAAUUGCCGCUGAAACUGGCGUGCUCGAGGGAGGUAGAGGUGCGUGGAACUUCCGGUGGAGCGGUGAAAUGCGUUGAUAUCGGAAGGAACACCUGUGGCGAAAGCGAUGCACUGGACCUCUUCUGACGCUGAGUGCGCGAAAGCCAGGGGAGCGAACGGG
rnacentral:rRNA from 1 species